rnacentral:rRNA from 1 species
GAUGAACGCUGGCGGCGUGCCUAAUACAUGCAAGUCGAGCGAACAGACGAGGAGCUUGCUCCUCUGACGUUAGCGGCGGACGGGUGAGUAACACGUGGAUAACCUACCUAUAAGACUGGGAUAACUUCGGGAAACCGGAGCUAAUACCGGAUAAUAUAUUGAACCGCAUGGUUCAAUAGUGAAAGACGGUUUUGCUGUCACUUAUAGAUGGAUCCGCGCCGCAUUAGCUAGUUGGUAAGGUAACGGCUUACCGAGGCAACGAUGCGUAGCCGACCUGAGAGGGUGAUCGGCCACACUGGAACUGAGACACGGUCCAGACUCCUACGGGAGGCAGCAGUAGGGAAUCUUCCGCAAUGGGCGAAAGCCUGACGGAGCAACGCCGCGUGAGUGAUGAAGGUCUUCGGAUCGUAAAACUCUGUUAUUAGGGAAGAACAAAUGUGUAAGUAACUAUGCACGUCUUGACGGUACCUAAUCAGAAAGCCACGGCUAACUACGUG